AUGCCUGCACCCGGUGUGCCAAGACAGCUGUGUGUGUGCACCCCCCUCUGUACCAGCCCUGCACACCCCACGGGGACCCCUGCAUGCCCCCUGCGUUCCCAGGAGACCCUGAACAGCCCUUGGCCCCGCGCCCCCACCUGCCACUGUCACGCCCCACGCCCCAGACACGGAUGCUGGCCACAGGCUGUGCGUGCAGCAGGGUCUGGUCCUGCGGGUCCACCAGCUUCAGCGUCUGGCUCUGCAGGAGCAGCAGCAUGGCCCGGCCCUGGGGGGGCCGUGUCAGGCCAGGGGCAGCCUGGGGUGAGGGGUGCAGGGACAGAGCACGGCAUGCAGGGCAGAGAGGGGAUGUGCUGGGGGCCAGGGGUGAUGCUGUGCUUGGGGAGGGAGGCACUCACCCCCCCCCAGGCACCCGGUGCUCCAUGCUGGUGCAGGGACAGCUGGCGGAUGCAGUUGUUGACGGCGACGCUGCUCCUCCCGGGUGCCAAGCUCCUCCUCGCUCAUCUCCACCCAGCCCAGCUGAGCGCACAGGGAAGCUCUGCGGGGCACUGGCCCGGGUGGGCGCAGUCUGGCUCCCACCAGCCCCACGCACCGGAGGGGGGCCAGGGACAGCACCCCGUCCAUCCAAGCCCCCCCCACAGUGGCAACAGCACAGCCACCGCCCCAGGGCCCCCACAUCCCUGCGACACCGGGGCAGGAGGGGCCAGGGGAGCUGGGCAGGAGCCCACCACCAGGGCGGCCCCACUCAGCCCCCGCUGUCCCAGCCUACCUUGGAGCCCGGCUCGUCCUCCUCAGCCAGGGCCGCACUGCAAGAGCGGGGCUGUCACCGGCUGCCACCAGCUGCUCCCUGCGCACAGGGAACCCUGCGCCCAGCUUGGUCAACGCAGCCCCCACCAAGCCCCCAAACCCCCACCUGAUGCCCGGCGAGGCCGGGUCUGGUGCCGGUGGCUCCGCGUCCUGCACUCCAGGCUCGCCAUCGGCCUCCUCUGCCGUGGGGUCCUGGGAAGGAGAGAGGGUGGCAGGGCCGGGCGCAGCAGGCGAUGUCCCCGGCCCCGACAGCCCCUCACCUUCCAGAAAUCGCCAUCGCCGAAGCGUUCAGCCGGAGCGAAGCCCGUCCAGGCGAGCUGUGGGCAGAGCGGAGGGCUCAGGACAAAUGCCAUGGGGAAGCUCCACAGCCCCGUGCCCCCCGACUCACCGGCUGCUCCUCGCAGGGGGUGCUGCCCUGGGAGCCGCGGGCGAGCCCCGCCGGGGGCUCCCACUGCGUGGUGCCGGUGGGGAUGUGCCAGUAGUAGGUGCCCGAGGUGUCCUGCACCCGCAUCCAUCCCGCAGGCAGGUCCGAGUCCGUCUCGAAGGAGUUCCGGGUCCAGAAGGAGUCUGGGGAACGGGGGGGGAGCCGAGGCUGGGACCCCCGCAGCCCCACACAGCCGGGAGGGGACCCCGGGGUGGUCGCCAUGUGGGGGGAGCUGCCACACAGCGGGGGGGCACAGCCAGGCAGGGCAGAGACCCCGCUGCCAUAAGGAGUCCCGAUGGCCACCAGGACGGGGGCCAGGCCGGGGGGGACACCCGAACACCGGCCCACGGGGUCGCGGGGACGUGGCCAGCAGGCACCGAGACCCCCAUCAGGGCGAUGGCCACGAGGCCCUCGCUGUGCUCGGUGCCCCCCCGCACCCACAGAUCCCAUCCCGCAGCCCCCGCCACGCCGUGGGGCCCGUCACACCAGGGGCCCCCCUCCCAGCCCCCGCCCCUCGGGACCCCCAUCCCCGGCACCCCGCGCCCACCCCCCCGGCGCCGCGGGGCCCCCUCCCGGGGGGGGCUCGGGGCAGCGCUCACCUGGGCCCUGCUGGUCCAGGCGUUGCCCCGGCAACCGCUGACGGCAUCGCCAGGGGCCGCCACUGGGAUGCGCCGGGGGGGGGGCGGGGAUGCGCAGAUGGGGGGGGGGGGGCUGGGACCGGGAUGGGGAGGGAGGGAGGGGGCGACAGGGACAGCAGGGGCCGUGCGGAGGGGGCCGGGGACACAGGGACAGGGGGUGAGGUGGGUGGGGACGGGCAGCUGGGGCACCGUGGGGGACCCCCGCGGCCGGGGGGGAGCAAUGGGGAGCGCAUGGGGAUGCGCAGCCAGGAGGGUGCUGGGUGA
rnacentral:lncRNA from 1 species